AAGCUUUAGCUACUUUUCUCUCUGUAAGAACAUGCUACUAAGGAUUGUCUUUUCAUUGUGAACAUUUGACUAGUUGUAGCCACUGCAAUCUUCCGUUAUUGCACAAGCCACCCACAGACAAUGAAUACCAGAAGUACCACAGCCAUUUCAUGUACAGGGAGAUGAAAACACCAAAUGGAGCAAAGAGAAGAAUCAAACUCUUUUUUUUACACUUUCCAUUUCCAUUUUACCAAUGUUUCAUGAUCUCUUGUGACCCAUAAACUGACUUUCUAUAAAAUAAUGUUUUCCUAUGAAUGAUCUCAGUGCAAGUUUCCUUUUGUUACUCUUUGAAAGUGAUUUUUCAUUUCAUAUUGUAACAGAAAUGUUAAAUCAGGGCUUGAAGCAGUGAUUGAGCACCUGGUGGGAAGGCAGGGCCAACCCAGGGUAGCUCAGGUGCAUUUAAUGCAGCUGAAUGACAGGAAGGGAUGGAAUCAGGAUCCACCCCUCCCAGACCUCAUUUAAGGGUUGGCAGUGGAGGUGGAGGCUUCUUGGUGGAGAUUCAUGUCUGCUGAAAGCCUUGUGAAGGGAAGAAUCUGUGUAUGGAGAAGAGAGAUCCAAUAUUAUAAACUUACCAAGAAAUGGAAGCUGUGAGUUUCAAGCAUUAGCUACUUCUGGAGUGAUAGGGGAGUCAAAAGAGUACAGAACCCAUCUUUGGGUAAAGUCUACCAAAUAAGUGUCAAAUGGAUGACAAAAAUGGCACUUUGCUGUUAAUGCCAGCUAUUCUGCUAAUGACACCUACUCCAAACCAGAUGCAAAUGGGAAGAAGCACAUGUACCUGGCUCGAGUCCUUGUUGGACAGUAUUCCCAGGGGACACAAGGAGCAAUUACUCCAGCAGCAAAGAGUGUUGGCAACAGUGUGGAUCUGUUUGACAGUUCAACUGAUAAUGUGAACAAUCCAUCCAUGUUUAUCAUAUUUAGUGAUAUUCAAGCUUACCCGGAGUACCUCAUCA